GGGAGAUGGCCGAGUGGUUAAAGGCGGCAGACUGUAAAUCUGUUCUCGGACGAGUACGAAGGUUCGAAUCCUUCUCUCCCC
rnacentral:tRNA from 1 species